rnacentral:rRNA from 1 species
CACGUGGGUAACCUGCCCAUAAGACUGGGAUAACUCCGGGAAACCGGGGCUAAUACCGGAUAACAUUUUGAACCGCAUGGUUCGAAAUUGAAAGGCGGCUUCGGCUGUCACUUAUGGAUGGACCCGCGUCGCAUUAGCUAGUUGGUGAGGUAACGGCUCACCAAGGCAACGAUGCGUAGCCGACCUGAGAGGGUGAUCGGCCACACUGGGACUGAGACACGGCCCAGACUCCUACGGGAGGCAGCAGUAGGGAAUCUUCCGCAAUGGACGAAAGUCUGACGGAGCAACGCCGCGUGAGUGAUGAAGGCUUUCGGGUCGUAAAACUCUGUUGUUAGGGAAGAACAAGUGCUAGUUGAAUAAGCUGGCACCUUGACGGUACCUAACCAGAAAGCCACGGCUAACUACGUGCCAGCAGCCGCGGUAAUACGUAGGUGGCAAGCGUUAUCCGGAAUUAUUGG